rnacentral:lncRNA from 1 species
AGGUAGUUGCAUCCCUAUCAAUCCAAAUCUAUCUCACAAAAACAUUACUGGCACUUGUACCUACACUGGCAAAGACCGUUCAGCAUUGAAAUAUAUGUUGAACUAAAAAACAGUGUAAUGCUGGCACUAUAGAGAAUAAACUUCUGAGAUGAAGCCGGAUUGAGAUGUACUGCAGUUGUCCUCAAACAAUUCUGCUUUGAUUUAAUGAGUGGCUAUGCUGCACUUAUAAUCAAUAGUGGUGUUUAAUUGAGGGUAGCACUUAAUUGGGGAUGCCGCUUAAAAGAGUAAAUACACUAUGUGUUUUGCUCAAUUAUUUUUGUUUAAAGAUUGUACCGAUAAGCUAGGUGUGAAAUUACAAGUGGAUACUAUAGGGGUAGAUUUUGAAGGUUGCCCAGGCCCCAACCCAGAAGCUAGACAGCUAGAAUCCCGAGACAAGUCACAAUUUUCCAUGUAUGCAGUGCAGUUGCAUUUACUGUUUCGGUUAUCUGAGAUCAUAUACCCUGGCCCCCUGAAGGUCUAGAUCGGAAUAUUGCAUUGCUGUUUAACAACAUCAACAUUCGAGGCUAACUUAAUUUUCAUCACUAUAUGCUUAAUUGUCAUAUUUAGCAGCUGUUCAUAGAGAAUAAUGAUACAUGGUUGCGCGGAAAUACCAGAUGUAUUUCGAGUGUUUACUACCUACAAAAUACUGAAUAUAUUUAUACAUAAUUCUAACCUAGGGCUAUGGGCCUAACUGGCCAUAUAGUUUUGUUUUUAUACCAGUUUAAUAUAAACGAUCAUAAUUUGCAUAAAAUUCGUAUUAAAAACAAGCUUAAUUGAUACAUACCAUUUUAUACAUUUAUUGGAAUUUGUAGCAAUGAUUGAUACUGUACACUCGAUGAAAAGCACCAUUAAUAUUCGGAAAUACUAAAUCACGUCUUAUUUUAUGAUUUCCAUGAAAUGAUUCGAAUAAAAAAGAAACUUUCUUCUGAAUUCUGACUGCGUUUGAACGAAAUCAAGUAAAUUGACUUCCGUGUUUGGUCACAUGACUUGAUAUGCCACAAAAAUAUAAGAACCUUUCCGAUUGGCUGGUGCUGUACGUUCUCUGCAAACGCGCGGGAAAUUCCUUGCAAAAACUGUUUCUUGCAAAUUGUUGUGUUCAGGGGCGCUGGAGCCACGGGCGCGGCUGCCCCCGCUCCCCAAACAGUGCGGUGACAACAUGUUGCUUUUUUUACAAGAACUCCCACCCUAUACUUACUACCCAAAAUUCAUAAAGCUGGCAACCCGGGUAGCCUGCUCACAGGCUCUAUUAUAUAGAGCCUGCGACUUUUAUUGAUAUUUUUUCAAUACGCCCCCUUUGAGAUAAUUGAAUAUCC